UACGGUGACAGUGGGGAUAUCGUCGGCUUUUUUGGUUUCACCGUUGGUUUCUUUCUACGGUGACAGUGAUUCGAAUCUGCUAACCUAGAAUUAAGCUAAAGACACUACAAGGCAGCCAUUGAAACUAAUUACAGAGAGGAAAAGAGAGUUAAAAAAGAAAAGAAAAGAAAAGAGAGAGUUGAAACUCAUUACAGUGAUUCCAUUCCUUUACCUUUCAGUUGCAGUAACCUGGAGACUGGUUGAGAAGAAGAAGGUCGACUGGUUGAGAAGGCAAUCGAAAGAGUGGCAGAGCGAAAAAGAAAAGAAAGGAAACGGAGGGAACAAAUCGGCAGCAAAGAGGCGUAAUGGACUGGGAG
rnacentral:lncRNA from 1 species